rnacentral:rRNA from 1 species
GACGAACGCUGGCGGCGUGCUUAGCACAUGCAAGUCGAACGGUAAGGCCCCUUCGGGGGUACACGAGUGGCGAACGGGUGAGUAACACGUGGGUGAUCUGCCCUGCACUUCGGGAUAAGCCUGGGAAACUGGGUCUAAUACCGGAUAGGGCCUCUGCCUGCAUGGGCGGGGGUGGAAAGCUGUUGCGGUGUGGGAUGGGCCCGCGGCCUAUCAGCUUGUUGGUGGGGUGAUGGCCUACCAAGGCGACGACGGGUAGCCGGGCGGAGAGGGUGGCCGGCCCCACUGGGACUGGGUGACUGCCCAGACUCCUACGGGAGGCAGCAGGGGGGAAUGUUGCACACUGGGCGCAAGCCUGAUGCAGCGACGCCGCGUGAGGGAUGACGGCCUUCGGGUUGUAAACCUCUUUCACCAGGGACGAAGCGCAAGUGACGGUACCUGGAGAAGAAGCACCGGCCAACUACGUGCCAGCCGCCGCGGUAA